rnacentral:sRNA from 1 species
UGUUAAACCCGAUAGAAGCGGCAUCCUUUUAGCUAAGCGAAAAGAUACAGCGGAUAGCGGGACUGCCA